GACGAACGCUGGCGGCGUGCUUAACACAUGCAAGUCGAACGUGAUUUUUGUAGAAAUUCUUUCGGGAAUGGAAAUGAAAUGAAAGUGGCGAACGGGUGAGUAACACGUGAGCAACCUACCUUACACAGGGGGAUAGCCGUUGGAAACGACGAUUAAUACCGCAUGAGACCACAGAAUCGCAUGAUAUAGGGGUCAAAGAUUUAUCGGUGUAAGAAGGGCUCGCGUCUGAUUAGCUAGUUGGAAGGGUAAAGGCCUACCAAGGCGACGAUCAGUAGCCGGUCUGAGAGGAUGAACGGCCACAUUGGAACUGAGACACGGUCCAAACUCCUACGGGAGGCAGCAGUGGGGAAUAUUGCACAAUGGGGGGAACCCUGAUGCAGCGACGCCGCGUGAGCGAAGAAGGUUUUCGAAUCGUAAAGCUCUGUCCUAUGAGAAGAUAAUGACGGUAUCAUAGGAGGAAGCCCCGGCUAAAUACGUGCCAGCAGCCGCGGUGAUACGUAUGGGGCGAGCGUUGUCCGGAAUUAUUGGGCGUAAAGGGUACGUAGGCGGCCUUUUAAGUCAGGUGUGAAAGCGUGAGGCUUAACCUCAUUAAGCACUUGAAACUGGAAGACUUGAGUGAAGGAGAGGAAAGUGGAAUUCCUAGUGUAGCGGUGAAAUGCGUAGACAUUAGGAGGAAUACCGGUGGCGAAGGCGACUUUCUGGACUUUUACUGACGCUCAGGUACGAAAGCGUGGGGAGCAAACAGG
rnacentral:rRNA from 1 species